rnacentral:lncRNA from 1 species
CAACAGCGAUGCGCUCGAAGUUAAAGCUUAGAUAUUACUCGAUAAACAGAACUUACAGAAUUGGUCGGAGAUCGUGUCGAUGCAACCCUGCCAACCUGUACGAACUCGUGAAAGAAAAAGAUGUAUUGGUGAAGUCGUCGACUUGAAAGUAAAGUACGAUAAAAAAGUAGAUUGUUUGUCUUGAUUGAUGUGUUGUUUUACAAAUAUCUAAAGAUGGCUAUUUAUAGCCUGUUACAACUGAUUUCCUAACUGACUAGGAUCUAUCUCUAAUUUUAAAUGAAAAUGAAUAUUUACAAACACAACUCGUAUCGGAGUUGGUUAUUAUACUCCCACGGGCCAAAUUCUCUCUAUCUUCUUUCUCUAGCUCACUUUAAGCCCAUAUUGGCCCAAUCGCUCCAGCCUUCCAAUCGGCCGACCUCCACCAACUCCAUUUGCCAAUCGCUCGAAACACUGUAGCGCC